rnacentral:SRP_RNA from 1 species
ACUGGCCACGGUGGUGUGUGCCUGUAGUCCCAGCUACUCGGGAGGCUGAGGCUGGAGGAUCACUUGAGCCCAGGAGUUCGGGGCUGUAGAGUGCUAUGCCGAUCGGGUGUCUACACUAACUUCGGCAUCAAUCUGGUGACCUCCCGGGAAUAGGGAACCACCGGGUUGUCUAAGGAGGGGUGAACCAGCCCAGGUCGGAAACAGAGCAGGUCAAAACUCCCAUGGUAAGCAGUAGUGGGGUCGCACCUGUGAAUAGCCACUGCACUCCAGCCUGGGCAACAUAGCGAGACCCCGUCUCU